ACUAGCAGUAAGAGUUUGAUCCGUGGCUCAGGACGAACGCUGGCGGCGUGCUUAACACAUGCAAGUCGAACGGGGUCCAUCCAGUCUUCGGACUGGGGAAGACCUAGUGGCGAACGGGUGAGUAACACGUAAGUAACCUGCCCAGAAGUGGGGGAAUAACCAGCCGAAAGGCUGGCUAAUACCGCAUGUGAUGGCUCUUCUUUGGAGGAACCAUGAAAGGCGAAAGUCGCUUCUGGAGGGGCUUGCGGCCGAUUAGCUUGUUGGUGGGGUAAUGGCCUACCAAGGCCGCGAUCGGUAGCUGGUCUGAGAGGAUGGUCAGCCACACGGGGACUGAGAUACGGCCCCGACUCCUACGGGAGGCAGCAGCUAGGAAUCUUGGGAAUGGGCGAAAGCCUGACCCAGCAACGCCGCGUGAGCGAUGAAGGCCUUCGGGUUGUAAAGCUCUUUUGCGAGGGAAGAUGAUGACGGUACCUCGCGAAUAAGCCACGGCUAACUACGUGCCAGCCGCCGCGGUAAUUC
rnacentral:rRNA from 1 species